UACGGGGGGGGCAAGCGUUGUUCGGAAUUACUGGGCGUAAAGGGCUCGUAGGCGGCCAACUAAGUCAUACGUGAAAUCCCUCAGCUUAACUGGGGAACUGCGUGUGAUACUGGAUGGCUUGGAUUUGGGAGAGGGAUGCGGAAUUCCAGGUGUAGCGGUGAAAUGCGUAGAUAUCUGGAGGAACACCGGUGGUGUAGACGGCCUUCUGGAACGUAACUGACGCUGAGACACGAAAGCGUGGGUAGCAAACAGG
rnacentral:rRNA from 1 species